UACAGAGGUCCCAAGCGUUGUUCGGAUUCACUGGGCGUAAAGGGUGCGUAGGUGGUGGGGUAAGUCGGAUGUGAAAUCUCCGAGCUCAACUCGGAAACUGCAUUGGAAACUACCCUGCUAGAGGGUCGGAGGGGGGACUGGAAUACUUGGUGUAGCAGUGAAAUGCGUAGAGAUGUGGAGGAAUACCAAUGGCGAAGGCAGCCUCCUGGCCUAAUACUGACGCUCAUGCACGAAAGCGUGGGGAGCAAACAGG
rnacentral:rRNA from 1 species